rnacentral:lncRNA from 1 species
AAAUCUUCUUAAAAUUUUAGACACUAAAUGCUUGUGAUCUUGGCUUGGUCCUAAGUGAUCUUGUUUGGUUUAGUCAUUGUAGUCAGAUUUGAAUAAUCCUGUCAAGGCCCAGAUAUAGGGCUUCUGGGACAGGAUUUCAUUUGAAGCCAGAGAAUCCACAUCCUCCAAACCAUGAUGGGCUGUAGAAGCCACAUCUACAGCCUCCAUAGCCAAAGCCCAGUCUGCGGAAGCUGCUGCAUCCACAGCCAUAGCCAUGGCCCAGGCCACCAAAGCCACCAAAUCCGUAGCCCAGGCCUCCGUAGUAGUUGCUGUAGUGGCUCGUGGUGUCAGGGGUGCUUUCAUUCGUCUUCCCUUCUUCUCAAUCCCUAGGAGAAAGAACCAGGCUGUGAAGAUACUGACCUGUGUGAGAAUAGAAUAGUUUCAAAUGAAAUGCAGUUAUACCGGUCAAAGGUCCUCUAAUGGAGUUACCAGACUUUAUCUACUAUGUCCUCUCCUGUGAAAGCACAACACAGCACUGUGAAGGUGACAAGAGCUCACUAAGUUUCUUUAUCUUCAUGUUGUAUAAACAAAUCCAAAUGUUUCCAAUAAAAUCCAUGAUCUUGAGAAUUGAGUUGUAACAUUAUUCACUCUUGAUUUGCCUUGAAGUACAACUAAAUUAGAAAUUGAGAAGUAGAAGAUUAUAUACAAUAAAAUAAAAUUGUAACAAUAAAAAUGUAAAAGAAAACACAAUAAAAGGUAGUUAAUCUAACACAGGGAACUAAUCCCCAUAAAUUCAGCUAUAAAACUGUAGCUGUUCAGAAAUAUGACAAGACUUUCCAUAUGGUAUUCGAAUUUUUAAGUAUUCAAUCAAAGAGAGUAUGAUGGAGUAGAUCACCAGGAUUCAGGUGACCUGCUUUCUGAUCUUGGUUUUGACACUUGUGUUUAUGAUUCUAGGCAAGUCACUUAACUGUUUGGAGGGUUUUCUUUACCUGUACUGUAGAGGGCAG